AACCUAACUUCUUCCACCGAAACCUCCCUUCACGAAAUUAACCUAGCCUCUCCACCAAAACUCCAAAACUCAUCUCCGCCGAAACCAACCUUCACCCCUCCAUCCAUCGACCAACUCCCACGUCUCCACCGUCAGCCGGCCGGCCACCAUCCCUCAUUCUGUCUUCUCCAAUCAAGCAGAGACCCAACAUCAUCUUCUCGACGCCAACAUAAGUUGUUGUCUUCUUCUCUAUCUUCCUCCUUUCCUACAUUCGGCCAACCACCUCCUCUCUAUCACCGCCGGUGGAGCUACUUACUCUCAUCUCUCCUGUUCAGGUUAGAAGAGGAGAGGCCAUAACUUCCUUUCAGCAGCCACCGCUCUUCCAUCCAUCAUCCGAAAACUUCUACUUAGGUUAGAGGAGGAACUGAAGCCUUCCCCUUUCUCUCUUCGGGUUAGAAGAGAGGAAGCUCCACUCCUACUUCCGGAAGAGGAAAGCUUUAUACCUACCACCGACAGCCCCCAUUCCCUCUCCACUUCCGGUUAGAAGUGGAGAGUUCAUUUCCUCCACUCCGGCAGCCCUUCAUCGUCUCCAAACAGCUUGCUCCACUCUGGCAGCCCUCCAUAUUCCAUCUUCUGGUUAGAAGAGGGGAAGAGGUCACUUCUAGACAACCACUACAUCUGAAGGGACCACUAGGAAAAACACCAAAUUACCCAUUUCAACUGAUGCUCAAUUGAGAACAAUGCGAAAGGGAUCUGACGACCAUCUUGUUUUAAACAUCGAGUCUGGGUCUGAUCAUUCAAUUGCAGCAAAGUCUGAUGCUAAAGGUCUAGUGAAAAUAUUGAAGAAGUAUGACAAGAGAACAAGAGCACUUAUCAGGCAUCCCUUCAUCGAAAAGGUGUCGCAGCAGCCAUUCUUUACAACUGAUCUCCUAUACAAACUCGUGAAGGAGUGUGUGGCUAUGCUCGACCAUCUCUUCCCCAGCAACAACCUGUCAAUUUCAGCAGAAUGCGAUGGACAAAAUGGAGUGCCAAAGCCGGCAUAAUCAGGUGGGAGGGUUCCGGUUGGAGGAGAUUAAAUAUAUGCAGAGCUUAUACAUGAAGAGCACCGUAGCAGCGCUGCGGUCCUUGAAACAGAUUAGGAGCAAAAGUUCAACAGUCAAAACAGAUUAGAAAAUCUUGUGUUAUAUUGUUCUACCUUUGUUUUAAUAGUGUUAUCAUUUUGUUGGUUGCUUAUGAAAUUUUGUUGGUUGCUUAUGAAAUUUC